GACAGAGGGUGCAAACGUUGUUCGGAAUUACUGGGCGUAAAGCGCGUGUAGGCGGCUCGGCAAGUCGGGUGUGAAAGCCCUGGGCUUAACCUAGGAAGUGCACUCGAAACUGCCAAGCUUGAGUUCUGGAGAGGAAGGCGGAAUUCUCGGUGUAGAGGUGAAAUUCGUAGAUAUCGAGAGGAACACCGGUGGCGAAGGCGGCCUUCUGGACAGCAACUGACGCUGAGACGCGAAAGCGUGGGUAGCAAACAGG
rnacentral:rRNA from 1 species